UGUGGACACUUCUCUAUGUGACAGGC
rnacentral:piRNA from 1 species